rnacentral:rRNA from 1 species
GACGAACGCUGGCGGCGUGCCUAAUACAUGCAAGUAGAACGCUGAAGAGAGGAGCCUGCUCUUCUUGGAUGAGUUGCGAACGGGUGAGUAACGCGUAGGUAACCUGCCUUGUAGCGGGGGAUAACUAUUGGAAACGAUAGCUAAUACCGCAUAACAAUGGAUGACACAUGUCAUUUAUUUGAAAGGGGCAAUUGCUCCACUACAAGAUGGACCUGCGUUGUAUUAGCUAGUAGGUGAGGUAACGGCUCACCUAGGCGACGAUACAUAGCCGACCUGAGAGGGUGAUCGGCCACACUGGGACUGAGACACGGCCCAGACUCCUACGGGAGGCAGCAGUAGGGAAUCUUCGGCGAUGGGGGCAACCCUGACCGAGCAACGCCGCGUGAGUGAAGAAGGUUUUCGGAUCGUAAAGCUCUGUUGUAAGUCAAGAACGAGUGUGAGAGUGGAAAGUUCACACUGUGACGGUAGCUUACCAGAAAGGGACGGCUAACUACGUGCCAGCAGCCGCGGUAAUACGUAGGUCCCGAGCGUUGUCCGGAUUUAUUGGGCGUAAAGCGAGCGCAGGCGGUUUGAUAAGUCUGAAGUUAAAGGCUGUGGCUCAACCAUAGUUCGCUUUGGAAACUGUCAAACUUGAGUGCAGAAGGGGAGAGUGGAAUUCCAUGUGUAGCGGUGAAAUGCGUAGAUAUAUGGAGGAACACCGGUGGCGAAAGCGGCUCUCUGGUCUGUAACUGACGCUGAGGCUCGAAAGCGUGGGGAGCGAACAGGAUUAGAUACCCUGGUAGUCCACGCCGUAAACGAUGAGUGCUAGGUGUUGGAUCCUUUCCGGGAUUCAGUGCCGCAGCUAACGCAUUAAGCACUCCGCCUGGGGAGUACGACCGCAAGGUUGAAACUCAAAGGAAUUGACGGGGGCCCGCACAAGCGGUGGAGCAUGUGGUUUAAUUCGAAGCAACGCGAAGAACCUUACCAGGUCUUGACAUCCCGAUGCUAUUUCUAGAGAUAGAAAGUUACUUCGGUACAUCGGUGACAGGUGGUGCAUGGUUGUCGUCAGCUCGUGUCGUGGGAUGUUGGGUUAAGUCCCGCAACGAGCGCAACCCCUAUUGUUAGUUGCCAUCAUUCAGUUGGGCACUCUAGCGAGACUGCCGGUAAUAAACCGGAGGAAGGUGGGGAUGACGUCAAAUCAUCAUGCCCCUUAUGACCUGGGCUACACACGUGCUACAAUGGUUGGUACAACGAGUUGCGAGUCGGUGACGGCAAGCUAAUCUCUUAAAGCCAAUCUCAGUUCGGAUUGUAGGCUGCAACUCGCCUACAUGAAGUCGGAAUCGCUAGUAAUCGCGGAUCAGCACGCCGCGGUGAAUACGUUCCCGGGCCU